GUUGCGGAGGCUUACCUGCAAGUCGAGCGGUAACAGGGGGAGCUUGCUCCCCGCUGACGAGCGGCGGACGGGUGAGUAAUGCAUAGGAAACUGCCCAGUAGUGGGGGAUAGCCCGGGGAAACCCGGAUUAAUACCGCAUACGCCCUUUGGGGGAAAGCAGGGGAUCUUCGGACCUUGCGCUAUUGGAUGUGCCUAUGUCGGAUUAGCUAGUUGGUGGGGUAAGAGCCUACCAAGGCGACGAUCCGUAGCUGGUCUGAGAGGAUGAUCAGCCACAUCGGGACUGAGACACGGCCCGAACUCCUACGGGAGGCAGCAGUGGGGAAUAUUGGACAAUGGGGGCAACCCUGAUCCAGCCAUGCCGCGUGUGAGAAGAAGGCUUUCGGGUUGUAAAGCACUUUCAGUGAGGAGGAAAACCUUACGACUAAUACUCGUGAGGCUUGACGUUACUCACAGAAGAAGCACCGGCUAACUCCGUGCCAGCAGCCGCGGUAAUACGGAGGGUGCAAGCGUUAAUCGGAAUUACUGGGCGUAAAGCGCGCGUAGGUGGUUUGAUAAGCGAGAUGUGAAAGCCCCGGGCUCAACCUGGGAACGGCAUUUCGAACUGUCAGGCUAGAGUAUGGUAGAGGAGUGUGGAAUUUCCUGUGUAGCGGUGAAAUGCGUAGAUAUAGGAAGGAACACCAGUGGCGAAGGCGGCACUCUGGACCAAUACUGACACUGAGGUGCGAAAGCGUGGGGAGCAAACAGGAUUAGAUACCCUGGUAGUCCACGCUGUAAACGAUGUCAACUAGCCGUUGGGACUCUUGAAGUCUUAGUGGCGCAGCUAACGCACUAAGUUGACCGCCUGGGGAGUACGGCCGCAAGGUUAAAACUCAAAUGAAUUGCCGGGGGCCCUCACAAACGGUGGUGCAUGUGGUUUAAUUCGACGCAACGCGAAGAACCUUUCCUGGCCUUGACAGCAGAGAACUUUCCAGAGAUGGAUUGGUGCCUUCGGGAAUUCUGACACAGGUGGUGCAUCGCCGUCGUCAGCUCGUCUCGUGAGAUCGUCGGUUAAGUCCAGUACGGAACUCAACUCCUAUCCUUUUAUGCUAACAGUUUUUAAGAGUACUCUAGGGACUGGAAUGGUGACAAACCGGAGGAAGGUGGGUUGCCCGUCAGGUGUUCCUCGCCCUUACGGCCAGGGCUACUCAUUCCAAUCACUGGUGCCUACAGAGCCCUGCAUUGUCAUGAGGGGUCACUACCUUCACGAAUCGCAUCGUAGUCCGGAUCGGCGUCUGCCCUUCCUUGCAUGUGGUUGCGAUUCCUCAGUCUCCCUGUCUCGAAUCGUCCCGUAAUUUCCGUUCCCCCGUUUUAACCAUGGUAGCCGUCACUCCUUCCGUCUAAAGUCACCAGCAGCUUUCAGCAGACUCCAUCGCACCGCUCCCCCUCGAGCAUCCUUUAGAGGGCGCAGUCUCACAAGUGUCGUUC
rnacentral:rRNA from 1 species